rnacentral:rRNA from 1 species
UGGCUUGGUUGGUCUACACAUGCAGUCGAACGGCAGCACAGGAGAGCUUGCUCCUUGCGGUGGCGAGUGGCGGACGGGUGAGGAAUACAUCGGAAUCUACUUUUUCGUGGGGGAUAACGUAGGGAAACUUACGCUAAUACCGCAUACGACCUACGGGUGAAAGCAGGGGACCUUCGGGCCUUGCGCGAUUGAAUGAGCCGAUGUCGGAUUAUCUAUUUGGCGGGGUAAAGGCCCCCCAAGGCGACAAUCCGUAGCUGGGCUGAGAGGAUGAUCACCCACACUGGAACUGAGACACGGUCCAGACUCCUACGGGAGGCAGCAGUGGGGAAUAUUGGACAAUGGGCGCAAGCCUGAUCCAGCCAUACCGCGUGGGUGAAAAAGGCCUUCGGGUUGUAAAGCCCUUUUGUUGGGAAAGAAAUCCAGCUGGCUAAUACCCGGUUGGGAUGACGGUACCCAAAGAAUAAGCACCGGCUAACUUCGUGCCAGCAGCCGCGGUAAUACGAAGGGUGCAAGCGUUACUCGGAAUUACUGGGCGUAAAGCGUGCGUAGGUGGUCGCUUAAGUCCGUUGUGAAAGCCCUGUGCUCAACCUGUGAACUGCGGUGUAUACUGGGCGACUAGAGUGUGUGAGAGGGUAGCGGAAUUCCUGUUGUAUCAGUGAAAUGCGUAGAGAUCACGAGGAACAUCCAUGUCGAAAGCGGCUACCUGUACCAACACUGACACUGAGGCACGAAAGCGUGUGGAGCAAACAGGAUUAUAUACCCUGUGAGUCCACGCCCUAAACGAUGCGAACUGUAUGUUGGGUGCAAUUUGUGACGCACUAUCGAAGCUAUCGCGCUUAGUUCGCCGCCCUGGGGAGUACGGUCGCAAGACUGAAACUCAAAGGAAUUGACGGGGGGCCCGCACAAGCGGUGGAGUAUGUGGUUUAAUUCGAUGCACCGCGAAAAACUU